GAUGAACGCUGGCGGCGUGCCUAAUACAUGCAAGUCGAGCGAACAGAUAAGGAGCUUGCUCCUUUGACGUUAGCGGCGGACGGGUGAGUAACACGUGGGUAACCUACCUAUAAGACUGGGAUAACUUCGGGAAACCGGAGCUAAUACCGGAUAACAUUUGGAACCGCAUGGUUCUAAAGUGAAAGAUGGUUUUGCUAUCACUUAUAGAUGGACCCGCGCCGUAUUAGCUAGUUGGUAAGGUAACGGCUUACCAAGGCGACGAUACAUAGCCGACCUGAGAGGGUGAUCGGCCACACUGGAACUGGGACACGGUCCAGACUCCUACGGGAGGCAGCAGUAGGGAAUCUUCCGCAAUGGGCGAAAGCCUGACGGAGCAACGCCGCGUGAGUGAUGAAGGGUUUCGGCUCGUAAAACUCUGUUAUUAGGGAAGAACAAAUGUGUAAGUAACUGUGCACGUCCUGACGGUACCUAAUCAGAAAGCCACGGCUAACUACGUG
rnacentral:rRNA from 1 species